rnacentral:rRNA from 1 species
UACGUAGGGGGCAAGCGUUGUCCGGAUUCAUUGGGCGUAAAGAGCGUGUAGGCGGCCAGGUAGGUCGGUUGUGAAAACUGGAGGCUCAACCUUCAGAGGUCGACCGAAACCAUCUGGCUAGAGUCCGGGAGAGGAGAGUGGAAUUCCUGGUGUAGCGGUGAAAUGCGCAGAUAUCAGGAGGAGCACCGAUGGCGAAGGCAGGUCUCUGGGCCACUACUGACGCUGAGAAGCGAAAGCAUGGGGAGCGAACAGG